UGGGGAGUUUUCCGCAAUGGGCGAAAGCCUGACGGAGCAAUGCCGCGUGGAGGUGGAAGGCCUACGGGUCGUCAACUUCUUUUCUCGGAGAAGAAACAAUGACGGUAUCUGAGGAAUAAGCAUCGGCUAACUCUGUGCUAG
rnacentral:rRNA from 1 species